GAAUGAGAAGCUGCCCGUGUCAGCCAUACCUCAGCUACCCCAAGCAGCACACCUUGGAGAAGGAAUGACUUGCCUCCCACUUGCGGCUGGAAGAGGGACUUCAGUUCAGACUUGAGAUUUGAACAGAGGUCCCAGGCCCACCUCAGUAAGUCCCAGGACCAGACAGGGCUUGGACUUUGGACCCUCGUCUGCAAGGUGGCCUUGGGACUGGUCUCCCCACCUGCGUGCCGAGCGUGCUGAGACCGCCGCGACCCCGCCGCGCUGCGAACCCCCAGGUGAGCGCCCGCCGCGAGACGGCACCGUCGGAGCCCCUCGCCCCCACACGCGCGCGCGACUGCGCCCCCGAGCCGCGGCCGUGCUUCCCCCAGCUCUGCUUCCCGCCCCUUCCGACCUGCGAGACGCCCAGUGGCCCCAGCUCGGCUGCUCUGGCCAGCUGCCGCCCCCUGCCCUCUGACCGGGCUCUCAUAACCGCCUCUGUGCGUCCCUGCCUGGCUGCGGUGCCCGAGCUCCCCUCAGGGUCACCGCCCGCUGCCCUCACCUUUGUGCGCCCGCCCAGCGGGCUUGAGAGCCGAUGUGCCUAGGCUGUGGAUCUAGGCUGGUCCCGCGGGUCUGCCUGCGGGGUGGGGGCGUCACGGUGGUGCGUGUAGCCCACCUGGAGUGUUCGCUUCCCGCAGCCUUCUAGUACCAAAAGUGGAAGUAAGAGAAUUGAGGCACCUGUGCACCCGUGGUGCCCCCUGCCGUCAGGGGGGCGGGGAGGCGCUGCCUGCCGGUGUGUGCAGGUAGAACAAAGGCCCUGUGUGACCUGAGGCUGGGGGCGGGGAGGAGGCAGGGCUGCCUGCCUGUCCUCCCCAGACAGGAGAGAACAACAAAAGCUACCUCUUGGGGGCUUUCUUCCCCAGGAACACAACGGCCAGGUGGGGAGCUGCUUGGGGGCACCUGUGCACCCAGGCACCUGGGGGCGGGGGGAGUCCAACAUUCCCCAUUCCCAUGCCCCCCAUAGCUGUGGGAGUAGGGAGCCCAGGGUGGACCUUCGUGUGGGCAGAGGUGCGGGAGCAGCUUCCCUGGGGAGCACUUCCCGCGGGACCUGGCAAGUGCGGG
rnacentral:lncRNA from 1 species